GGCCCAAAGAACUCCCCCCUCCCCGAGGGCGGCGGCUCCGGGACCACGUCCCGGGCUUCGCUGACAGACUCGCGCGCCGGGGAUACUUGAGUGCCCUUCCCUGCGGGAACGCCGGAGGACGCAGACACAGGCGGUGGCUGGGAGAGCCGGCAGGCUGUGAGCUUCUGGAGAAGCAGUAUCACGCGGGGAUUAAGAGCACUGGCUCUGGAGCCCUGCCACCUGGACCACAUCCCAGCUCUGCCGCUUCUCAGCUGCGUCCAACCCAACAGUGUCUCCAAACGGAGUGUCGGGGUUGAAGAUGGCCUGCAACACUGCCUGAUCAUUUGGAGUCCCCAUGGUGCUCACCUGCAAAAUCCGAAAAGAAGCUUGGAAGAACACAAGGAAAAAAAAAAACUGAAAGAUCUGUUAUACAUGAUAAAGUUGUCAAGAAAUGUCUUAUUUCUAGAAAAGAAGCUUGUCAUCUGUUGAGCUUUUGAAACAAUUAUUCAACUACCUGUAUUUACUAAAGAGACUGUU